CCCGGGCCUCGGUCGUGCGGUCGCCGCUCUCGGAGGACCUAGCUGCCGCCGCGGGCCGGUGCCGACGUGGGGACGCGAGGUGGGCGCGCGGCAACUGCGAGCGUCCUCCACGCACGCGGGCGCGAGGUCUCAUUAGGCAGUGCAGGCUGGCUUUGAGCUCACUUCGUAGCCCAGGCUGAUCUUGAACUCACAAAGAUCUUCCUGCCUCAACCUCCCGAGUGCUGGAGUUACAGGCAUCGCCACCACGCCCGGGGAGACAGUUGGAUUCAACACUCUACAAGGACAAGGAGAGACUUAUAGUCAAGAAGCUGGAUCAGGGUCUUUAGGUGGAAAAUUACCAGGAGGAAACAUCAGGGUGAGGAGAAUUCCAGCCAACUUGACCUAACAGGAUUUUUCCUGAGGGUAGGCGAGGGUGAUGUGAUACUCGGGGAGGGAAAAUGAGUUGGCUCAGAUGUCAAGAGUGGGGGAUUUUGCUAAACUGACUCAACACAAUCCUUGCUGACAGUGCACUAAAUGGAGCUCAACAGUGAAGGCCGAAGACUGCUGCUUAGUUGGGAACAGUUUAAAGCAGUUAGGUCAAACUACCGUUAGGUCAGAGUAAUCAGAGAUUGUGAUGUGGAGACAUGCUUCACUAUAUUAGCUUUCCAUUGCUAUGUAACACAUUUUCAUAAAAUUAGUGACUUAACACAAUACUUUCACUAUUACAGUUCCUGUAGGUCAGAAUUCCAGACAUAUUUAAUUGCAUCGGCAGCCAGCGUGGGACCUUGCUGUAGCGGUGUUGGGAAUACUCCCCCAGACUUAAAUGUGUUUGUGCAGAUAAUAAAGCACCCAGACACCAAGAAAUCUUCACAAGGCAAGGUUGUUUUACUUCUGAAGAAGGGCUUGAGCACAUUUUAACAUGAGGUUGGAAGCACGAAGUGACUCAGCAGCAGGGUCCUUUGUUUUUUAACAUGAGAAGCAGCUGAAGGAUGGUCUAUGGAGGUCUCAGUCAUGUGGGACUCCACCUUUCCUGGAAUACAGGUGACCCUGAGUUUAGGGCAGGACUGGAGACUUCUGGUUAUAGCUGAAUAUACCUGUAAAUGUUGGUGUCACAGUUUUAAUGAGAUCAUGUAAAUCUGGGGGGAUCAACCAUGUCUGGCCACUUCCUAAUAGACACUGCUUAAAUGAUCAACAUCCCCUAGGCAGAGGUGAGAAGAGAUUUGACCAUUGAUUUACAGUACAGAGGAUGCAAAGUGAAGGUCAAGCUUUGUUCUGCAUUUAGUUACAGCUUGGGCAUCUGUAGACACAAAUCAGGAGUCAUGGUUCAUAGUAAAAUGACUUUUGUUAGGGUCUGUGCCUACAUCCCCAAUCCCCCAAAUGAGUGCACGGUGAAGGUCCAAAGGAGUGAGACAAGCAGUAUGGUCUGUAGGGCUCCAGGAGGACUAAAAUUCUUUGCGGAGUUCAUCACUUUGAUAGCUGACCGACAGACUGUCCCUGGGUGGCCCGUAUUUAUUCAAAACAAGGGAGGAGUUGGGUGGAAAAUUCAGGAAACCUGAGCAGGAUCUUGGGAGGGAUUCAAGGACCCCUCUGAGCAACAGAUGAUACUAAUUAAGGAAAACGAUCCAGAAAGUCUCCAGGUGGCCUCAGCUGUGGCCUAUCUUGCGCCCUGAGGUGUCUGUCUCUUUAUUCUCAGUUCAGCCAUGCCUGGGCCAUGCCACAGCCCUGCACAUGUACUCAGCUUCAGGGACUCCAACAGGCUUUUAAAUCCCUAACUGUUCCAGAAGAAAACACAAAUCAUGCUUUUAAGGAAUAGCUAUAAAGGUCAAGGAUUCUGUCUCUUCUCCAUCCCUAUGGUAGAUCUUGACUAUAUCAUAAUUUGGUCAGCUGGGUCCUCUGUUCAGAGUAAGAAUCAUCAUGUUGACCAAGCCAUAUUCUCUUCUGGUGGCUUCACUGAGCAAUAACCUGCUUCUAAAAGUUUUAGGAAGAAUUUAUUUUCUUGGGAAUAUAACCUUCAUGGUAGCAUGCAUCUUCCAGCUGUUGUUACUGGGUGGAGUCCAAGGAGUUUCCCCAAAGAUGAGAUGGGGAUGUUGUCUUGGCGUUUUGAGUCAGUUCUUUCUCCUCCUCCUUCUUCUCUUCCUUCUUCUCUAAUUUUAUUUAAAAUUUUUUUUACCAAAUUAAUUUUAUUUCAAGGAGAAAAAAGAAGAGGAGGAGAAAGAAACUAAAAAUUUCAAAACGCAUCAAUUGGGGCAGCAAUGGUACAUGCAUUGUGCAUUAUUAUCCCCAAAUCAUCCACCCAGAGCACAAGACAUCUGUCUUCAGUUGUCUGAACAACACCGCCACAAAUCUUUCUCUUCAGUGAACUCAGAGAAAUCAGUAGUGUAAUUAUCUUAACUAUUGUUUUAUAUACAUACAUAUAUAUAUAUAUAUAUAUAUAUAUUGUUUCAGCUUCUCAUACUAAUGAGACAAUAAGAUGUUUAUACAUGUGUCUUAUUUAUUUCACUAAAUAAUGGGCUCAAUGAGUAUGGGCUCAAGUUGCAUCCAUUUACCUAUAAAAGUCUCCAGUUUAUCCUACUUUAUGGCCAACUAGUACUCUUGUUAUAUAAAAAUACCACAUCGUUUUCAUCUGUUCCUCAGUCAGUGGGCAUUUAGGUUGUUUCCAAGAUCUGGAUAUUACAAAUUCUCUUGCUAAAAACAUAGAUGGAGAUCUAUCACUGUGGUAUGAUCUUUUUAAUUCUUUUGGGAAGACACCCAAAAGGGAAUAGCUGGGUUGAAUGGGACCUCUAUUCCUAGUUUUUUGAGGACUCUUCACAGUGACUGUACAAGUCUGCGUUUCCAUAAACAGUGGAGAAGAGUUUCCCCCACAUCCUUUCCAGCAUUUGAGUUUGAGUUCUCUGUUUGAGUUCUCUUUUUUUCUGUCUCUCUCUCUCUUUUUUUUUUUUUUUUUGUCUCUUUUCAUUUUUAUCAGUACCAGGGAUCGAACUCACGACCACACACUUGCAAGCAGGCGCUUAUGCCGCUGAGCUAAAUCCUCAGUCCCACUGUUUGAGUUCUUGAUAAUAGUCAUUUUUGGGGGCUGGGGAUUUAGCUCAGUGGCAUAAGCGCCUGCCUUACAAGCAGACAGUCGUGAGUUUGAUCUCUGGUACCCAUAAAAACGAAAAAGACAAAAAAAAAAUAGUCAUUUUUUCCAGGGUGAGGUGGAAUCUCAGGGUUGUUUUAAUUCUCAUCUCUCAAAUGACCAGUGAGGUUGAACAUGUUUUCACAUAUUUAUUUGCUGUUCAUAUUUCUUCAUCAGAGAAGUGUGUAUUCAUCUCAGAUGCCCAUUUUUGGAUUGGAUCUUUAAAUCUGGGAGGACUGAUUUUUUUUUGAGUUUUUUACAUGUUUUUGAUGGUAAUCCUUUGUCUGAAGUACAGCUGGCAAGCAUUUUUCUCCCACAUUGUGUGUUGUCUCUUCACUCUGUUGGUGAUUUCUCUUGCUAUGCAAAAGUUUUUCUUAAAAAAAAAGUCUUUAUUUUAUUUUACUUUAAAGACAAUAAAGUAGAAUGAAACCAAUCAAAAUAAACCAGUGUAAUAGAAACAGGACUUCAAAACCUUACAAAAUCAACAAUAGUUACCAUAAUGCCUUUUGAUGUCUUCAAAGUAGUUGCAGAUAUUCCGGGUGUGGCUCAUGCCUGUAAUCCCAGCACUCGGGAGGCUGAGGUGGGAGGAUCAUUACGAGUUCAAGACCAGCCUGGGCUACAAAGUGAGUUAAAGGUCAGCCUGAACUGCACAUGGAGACCCUGUCUCAAAAAAGACAAAAAUAAAUAAAUAAAUAAAAUAGUUGCAGAUAACUUUGGACAUGUGAAAAUCAGACAGAAACAAUAAAAACAAAACAAUGAAUGCAAUAAAGGACUUCAAAUCAAGCCAAUAGUAAACCCAAAAUUGCUACCAUAGUAUAUAUCUUUCUAUCUUUGAUAUAGCUGCUCCUGCUGUCAGAUUUAACAUAAAUAAAACAAAGAAUAAAACCCAACCCAACAAAACAAUGGAAAUAAUAUAGGACCUCAAAACAAGACCAUGAGGAAUCAACCAUAGCUGCAACCCUCAGAAGGAGAUCCCCCUAGAUGCCACACCGUGUACGGCUAUCAUCUGAACUCAAGAUCAGACCACUGGCCCUAGACCUGCAAUAGUAGUGAAACAACAAAGCACCACAGGCAUCCAGCUGCAUUUCACCUUGAUGCUAUCAUCACAGCCUGUGUUUCUCCAGAUAAGCUGGUUGCUUAUGGGGCGGGGGAUGGGGGGUUGGAGAGGACUGGUACUUCUUGUUUGCCAGCCUGUGCCCUGGAAGGGGCUGAGGUCUGGCUGUCCCCAGUGUGGCAGCAGCCUAUGCUGCAAAAGCUUUUCAAUAGGGUGAGAUCCUAGUUGUUGAUUCUUUGUGAUAGUUUCUAUACAAUUGGGGUUUUAUUCAUAAAGUCUCUGCCUACACCAAUGUCUUCAAGAGUUUUAUUUACUCUAUUUUCCAGCAGAUUUAAUGUUUCUGUUUUAAUAUUAAAAUCUUUGAUCCUGGGGCUGGGAAUUUAGCUCAGCGGCAUAAGUACCUUCCUGGCAAGCAGGCAGUCGUGAGUUCGAUCCCUGGUACUGAUAAAAAAAAAAGAUCUUUGAUCCUUUCUGAUUUUAGCUUGUUACACUGUGGAAGAUAAGGAUCCAGUUUUAUUCUUUAGCAUGUGUAGAGGCACUUUUUCCAGAACCAUUUAUUAAAGAGGCUAUCUUUCUUCCAGUGAAUGUGUUUGGCAUUUUGUCAAAGAUAAGAUGACUUAGUGUGUCUAGAGUUGUUUCUGCAUCUUCUAAUCUGUUCUGUUGAUCUUUGGGUCUGUUUUUGCCAAUUUCACACUGUUUUUAUCACAGUACCUUUAUAGUAUAAUUUCAAGUCAGGGAUUGUGAUGUCCCCUGUCUUGCCUUUGUUGCCCAGGAUUGCCUUUGCUAUUCUAGAUCUCUUCUGGUUCCAGAUGAAUUUUAGAAUUGUUUUCUCUAAUUCUGUCAGAUAUGCUAUUGGAAUUUUAAUUAGGAUUGCACUGAAUCUGUAUAACAGUUUUGGAAAUACGGCUAUUUUCAUUAUCUUGGUUCUUCCUACCCAACAGCACAGAAUAUCUCUCCAUUUUAUUUUAUUACUUUAUUUAUUAAUUUUUUUAGUACCAGGAAUUGAACUCAUGACCUCAUACUUGCUAGGCAGGCACUUAUACCACUGAGCUAAAUCCUGGUUUAUCUCUCCAUUUUCUAAUAUCCUUUUCAAUCUCCUUUUUCAGAGUAUUAUAGUUUUCAAAUUAUAGAUCUUUUACAUCCUUUGUUAGGUUAAUUUCUAGAUAUUUCUUUUCUUUUCUUUUUUUUAUAUUCAUUUUUUUGGAUGCUAUCGUAAAAGUAUUGUUUCCCUGAUUUGUCUUUUAGUGAGUUUGUAAUUUGUGUUUGGGAAGGAUACUGAUUUUUGAGUGUUGAUUUUGUAACCACAUACAUUAUUGAAUUUGCUUAUUAAAUCUAGUAGUCUUGGGCUGGGGAUUUAGCUCAGCGGCAUAAGUGCCUGCCUUGCAGGCAGGCAGUCGUGAGUUUGAUCCCUGGUACCGAUGAAAAGGAAAAAGACAAAAAAAAUCUAAAAAAAAUAAAUCUAGUAGUCUUUUUGUGGAGUUUUUGGUGUCCUCUAAGUAGAGUCUCAGUAGGUUCUUUUUUUUUUUUUUUUUUUUUUUGGUACUGGGGAUUGAAGUCAUGACUUUGCACUUGCCAGGUAGGUGCUUAUGCCACUGAGCUAAAUCCCCAGCCCUUCUGAGUAGGUUCUAGACUUAUGUUGCAGUAAAACAAUUUCAGCACACACAAGUGAGAGACAUAGACAUUUUUUAUUAGGCAGAGUUAAAGUAAUACACACUUGGGACUUAUGGUAAGAUGGUGGAGUGGUGAACAGCAGAGAGAGAUUUUCUGUGAAAUUUGGUGUCCAGAUGCUAGAAUGUAGAAAUGUGAGCAGGAGAUGAAGGGGAGAUAGGUCUAAAGCAAGGAAUGAUCUAAAGCAAGAGUUAAAGCUCACAGGGUGAUAAAGAGAGACCAUGAUGCAGAAGAAAGAGAUGGCCAGCAGAGCUUUCCCCAGAGCCCUUGCUCACUGAGUGAGAGGGGCAGCUUAAACCUGCAGGUGCACUGUGACUGCUGCAACCUCAGAGGCCUCCAUGGAGGAGCACAUCAGUGGAAUGGAACAAUGGACAUUGCAGAAUGCAGAGGCUGGUGAGUUAUUCAGGGUUAGAUCUCCCCCAAUUGAGGGCCAUUGGCCAAUAGCCAUCUUACAAAGGGGCCAACUGAACUUGGAACUCAGAACAGCUGUGAGAUGGCUCAGUCAGUCCGGUGGCUGCCAGGGUCAGGGUGAGACUGUGGAGUUCAAAUUGGCAGGAGAUGCAGGAGCUGAAUUUGAGCUGGCAUGGAGCCAAGUUCAAUUUGGGCAGGAGGCACAGGGAUCUUUCCAGGCUGAAUGAAUUGAGUUCCAGCCGCAUUGCCACUGAACUUCGGUGGAACCAAAAGUGUAGUCUUGCUGGGAUUAUCUACUACCCUGCUGUAAAGCUGUGGCUGGCCUGCUGGGGUAAUCAACAUGGAUCCGGACACUCUGCCCAUAUAAUCUACCCGUGAUAGUAGAGACAAACCUUGAAGUGGACACUUUUUUCUUUUUCUCUUUUUGUUUUUGUUUUGAUUUGUUUUCUUCAUUGUUCUUGUUAGUAUAUGAGUGUGAACGUAUUUCUUUCUUUCUUUUUUUAAUUUUUUUGAGACAGGGUCUCACUAUGCAGUUUUAGGCUGGACUUGAACCCACUUUGUAGCUGAGGCUGAUCUUGAACUUACAGUGAUCCUCCUGCCUCAGCCUUCUAAGUGCUGGGAUUACAGGCAUGUGCUACUAUGCCUGUCUCUUCUGUUCUGUUCUUUUUAUUUUUUCCUUCUCUCUUUCCCUCUGGUCUCCUUCACCAGUUUCCCAAAAUUUGCAUGAUCUUGCUUUGUUCUCCAGCCUUGCUUCUACCCUUUUCCUGUUCUUUAAUUUCUCUAUUUUCUCCCUAGCUGGGAUCCCUGCCCGCCCCUGCACAUUAUGUCCCAGCGUUCACCCCACCCACUCUGCGUGUUCCAUGUCAGCCUGCCCCUCCGCGGCGCCAGGCACAAGCUGCUGCUGCCGCUGCUGUUCCUCCAUGGUGCCGGGCGCGGGCCAUUGCCACGAUCCUUCCAUGGCGCCAGGCGCCACCUCUGGCCACCACUGCAGGCCUCCAAGCCCCACCCCGCCAUGGGCGGUCACAGCUGAAAUACGUUAUUUCCCUGCGCCAUCUUAGCGCGUCAUAGCAGCGUCUAGGUGGAAAUCUCUGUCCGCCCCUGCGUGCUAUGUCCCUACGUUUGCCCCGCCCACUCUGCAUGUUCCAUGUCAGCCUGCCCCUGCGCACUGUGUGGUGGUGCUCAUCUCGCCCCAAGCAUAACUCUGUUCUCUCCCUACAGGCGCAAUCUAUCUCAGAGUUUCAGACUGCCUUAAACACUGUGGGUUCCCAACGUCUUGCGGCUCCACUCAAACAUUUUUUUUACAAUUCAGUUCCACUCAAGAGAGGUUAUUUUUUUAUAUUAACGUCUUACAUACUUACUUAAUUCUACAGAUAACUUUUACUAUAGUCCAGAUCUCAAACAACAAGACAAAACUUGACCUUCAAGCUCCACAGAGACCUUGAUAUGGGUUUUCAUAUUUUAAAUAACACUUACAGUUCUGAGACAGACAAAUCUACACAAGGUAAAGCUGCCUGCUCCCCCCCCCCCCGCCAUGGGCUGCGCUCAGAUGCAGCAGAAGACAUCAGACAAGGUGCCCCAUCCUGGCAUUCUUUGAGACCUUACUCCAGGGCUGUUGGGCUAUCCUGGCCACCAGAGAGUGGCUGGGCCAUCCUAACUUGUAGCCCUCACAGGUCACAGGAGCCAACCACCUCUGUGGGUGUCUGUCUCAGAGUCCAAGUCACAUUAAAACUCUCAAGGUAAGACAUUCUCUAUAUUUGUGGACAUAAGAGGCCACAUAUACAGAGUUUUUACUGAGUUUUCAGGCUAAUAAAUCCUCAAUGUCUCACGGAGUAUUAAAGGUCAACCUAUGCCAGUUACAAACAGGGCCUAUUUUAUACAGGUCCCAGUCCUAAAUCUUAAAAUGCUUUUAUUCCCUUUUAAACUACCAUCCUGGUUUCACAUCACUCAGGCCCAAGAUUUAACCAUCCUUUUGGUACUCAUCUCUGCCUUACGACUUACAGGUUUUCAUGUUUUGUUAUCUACUUUGGUUCUUAAUUUCUUACAUUCUAUUAAUGAUCAUUGUUAUAGCAGGACUCUUUAACAGGAUUGCCUACAGACUUCAACGUCAUAUAUACCAGAGACAAGCCUUACCUACCUACCUUUUAACUUUUAUGCUUUCAUAUGAGGGAAUAAGCACCUCUCAUAACUUCACUCCUCCUAAUCCCACAUUUAAUUUUUCAGAAUUCUGCCUUGCCAUAAAAAUGUUCCUACCUCAACGUCAUCCUAAUAGAAUAACAUGUCUAAAUCAAAGGCACCUUUCCCUCUACCUCACUUGGGUCCGUAAAUAUGACAGUGCCAUGUCUCCUCAUAACAUCUUGUCUCCUUGUCUUUUCAGUCUAAUAUACGUGCAUUCACCAGUGAACUUGUCCUGGCUAAAACUCCUGGCACCAGCUUCUACCUAGACAUCAACUGUCAUCCCGUCGACUCCCCUAGACCCCAGUACAGCGCCCUCAGCCAGCAGGAAGUAGUUAAAGAGCGAAAUCUUCGCCCCUUUUCCUAAUAAUCAUAAGACGGGAUAUGAAAGGGUUGCUGGCCCAGACCGGACAUUAUAGCCAGAAAAGCCUCAGCUGGAAUUAGGGAGCUCCUGCCUCCCCCACCCCUAGAGAUUUACCUGUAACCCUAUACCCCCACCCUUAGAAACCUGCCCCUGCCACCAAACAUGUGCCAAUGAAAUACGUGUGCAUCUCUAAUGGCCUUAGGGCACUGCCCUAAGCUUAAGCUACUUAUAUUCCCCCACGCCACGUGUCCGCGGGAGAGAUCGCUGGCCCCGUGGUGGAGAUGCCACCCCCCAGGGGGUCGGGGGGUGUCUCUCCCCGCAUUCCUAAAAUAAAAGUUACUUAUAUUUUA